CCGUACACAAAAAUGCACAUGCUGUGAGCUCGAUGAGUAGGGCGGGACACGUGGUAUCCUGUCUGAAUAUGGGGGGACCAUCCUCCAAGGCUAAAUACUCCUGACUGACCGAUAGUGAACCAGUACCGUGAGGGAAAGGCGAAAAGAACCCCGGCGAGGGGAGUGAAAAAGAACCUGAAACCGUGUACGUACAAGCAGUGGGAGCACGCUUAGGCGUGUGACUGCGUACCUUUUGUAUAAUGGGUCAGCGACUUAUAUUCUGUAGCAAGGUUAACCGAAUAGGGGAGCCGAAGGGAAACCGAGUCUUAACUGGGCGUUAAGUUGCAGGGUAUAGACCCGAAACCCGGUGAUCUAGCCAUGGGCAGGUUGAAGGUUGGGUAACACUAACUGGAGGACCGAACCGACUAAUGUUGAAAAAUUAGCGGAUGACUUGUGGCUGGGGGUGAAAGGCCAAUCAAACCGGGAGAUAGCUGGUUCUCCCCGAAAGCUAUUUAGGUAGCGCCUCGUGAAUUCAUCUCCGGGGGUAGAGCACUGUUUCGGCAAGGGGGUCAUCCCGACUUACCAACCCGAUGCAAACUGCGAAUACCGGAGAAUGUUAUCACGGGAGACACACGGCGGGUGCUAACGUCCGUCGUGAAGAGGGAAACAACCCAGACCGCCAGCUAAGGUCCCAAAGUCAUGGUUAAGUGGGAAACGAUGUGGGAAGGCCCAGACAGCCAGGAUGUUGGCUUAGAAGCAGCCAUCAUUUAAAGAAAGCGUAAUAGCUCACUGGUCGAGUCGGCCUGCGCGGAAGAUGUAACGGGGCUAAACCAUGCACCGAAGCUGCGGCAGCGACGCUUAUGCGUUGUUGGGUA
rnacentral:rRNA from 1 species